rnacentral:tRNA from 1 species
CGCCAGAUAGCUCAGUUGGUAGAACACCUGACUAGAGAAUUCAGAGGGCCCGGGUUCGAAUCCCGGUCUGGUCC